rnacentral:rRNA from 1 species
GUGAGGAAUUUUCCGCAAUGGGCGAAAGCCUGACGGAGCAAUGCCGCGUGAAGGAUGAAGGCCUAUGGGUUGUAAACUUCUUUUCUCAGAAAAGAAUUAUGACGGUAUCUGAGGAAUAAGCAUCGGCUAACUCUGUGCCAGCAGCCGUGGUAAGACAGAGGAUGCAAGCGUUAUCCGGAAUGAUUGGGCGUAAAGCGUCUGUAGGUUGUUUAAAAAGUAUUCUGUCAAAGAUUAGGGCUUAACCCUAGAUAGGCAGAAUAAACUUUUAAGCUAGAGUUUGGUAGAGGCAGAGGGAAUUCCCGGUGGAGCGGUGAAAUGCGUAGAUAUCGGGAGGAACACCAAAGGCGAAGGCACUCUGCUGGGCCAAUACUAACACUGAGAGACGAAAGCGAGGGGAGCAAAUGGGAUUAGAAACCCUGGUAGUCC